ACAAAAGCGCAUGUGCUGUGAGCUCGAUGAGUAGGGCGGGACACGUGGUAUCCUGUCUGAAUAUGGGGGGACCAUCCUCCAAGGCUAAAUACUCCUGACUGACCGAUAGUGAACCAGUACCGUGAGGGAAAGGCGAAAAGAACCCCGGCGAGGGGAGUGAAAAAGAACCUGAAACCGUGUACGUACAAGCAGUGGGAGCACCCUUUGGGGUGUGACUGCGUACCUUUUGUAUAAUGGGUCAGCGACUUAUAUUCUGUAGCAAGGUUAACCGUAUAGGGGAGCCGCAGGGAAACCGAGUCUUAACCGGGCGUUAAGUUGCAGGGUAUAGACCCGAAACCCGGUGAUCUAGCCAUGGGCAGGUUGAAGGUUGGGUAACACUAACUGGAGGACCGAACCGACUAAUGUUGAAAAAUUAGCGGAUGACCUGUGGCUGGGGGUGAAAGGCCAAUCAAACCGGGAGAUAGCUGGUUCUCCCCGAAAGCUAUUUAGGUAGCGCCUCGUGAAUUCAUCUCCGGGGGUAGAGCACUGUUUCGGCUAGGGGGCCAUCCCGGCUUACCAACCCGAUGCAAACUGCGAAUACCGGAGAAUGUUAUCACGGGAGACACACGGCGGGUGCUAACGUCCGUCGUGAAGAGGGAAACAACCCAGACCGCCAGCUAAGGUCCCAAAGUCAUGGUUAAGUGGGAAACGAUGUGGGAAGGCCCAGACAGCCAGGAUGUUGGCUUAGAAGCAGCCAUCAUUUAAAGAAAGCGUAAUAGCUCACUGGUCGAGUCGGCCUGCGCGGAAGAUGUAACGGGGCUAAACCAUGCACCGAAGCUGCGGCAGCGACACUCAGGUGUUGUUGGGUAGGGGAGCGUUCUGUAAGCCUGUGAAGGUGGCCUGUGAGGGUUGCUGGAGGUAUCAGAAGUGCGAAUGCUGACAUAAGUAACGAUAAAGCGGGUGAAAAGCCCGCUCGCCGGAAGACCAAGGGUUCCUGUCCAACGUUAAUCGGGGCAGGGUGAGUCGACCCCUAAGGCGAGGCCGAAAGGCGUAGUCGAUGGGAAACGGGUUAAUAUUCCCGUACUUGGUGUUACUGCGAAGGGGGGACGGAGAAGGCUAUGUUGGCCGGGCGACGGUUGUCCCGGUUUAAGCGUGUAGGCUGGUUUUCCAGGCAAAUCCGGAAAAUCAAGGCUGAGGCGUGACGACGAGGCACUACGGUGCUGAAGCAACAAAUGCCCUGCUUCCAGGAAAAGCCUCUAAGCAUCAGGUAACAUCAAAUCGUACCCCAAACCGACACAGGUGGUCAGGUAGAGAAUACCAAGGCGCUUGAGAGAACUCGGGUGAAGGAACUAGGCAAAAUGGUGCCGUAACUUCGGGAGAAGGCACGCUGACAUGUAGGUGAAGUGAUUUACUCACGGAGCUGAAGUCAGUCGAAGAUACCAGCUGGCUGCAACUGUUUAUUAAAAACACAGCACUGUGCAAACACGAAAGUGGACGUAUACGGUGUGACGCCUGCCCGGUGCCGGAAGGUUAAUUGAUGGGGUCAGCGCAAGCGAAGCUCCUGAUCGAAGCCCCGGUAAACGGCGGCCGUAACUAUAACGGUCCUAAGGUAGCGAAAUUCCUUGUCGGGUAAGUUCCGACCUGCACGAAUGGCGUAAUGAUGGCCAGGCUGUCUCCACCCGAGACUCAGUGAAAUUGAACUCGCUGUGAAGAUGCAGUGUACCCGCGGCAAGACGGAAAGACCCCGUGAACCUUUACUAUAGCUUGACACUGAACAUUGAGCCUUGAUGUGUAGGAUAGGUGGGAGGCUUUGAAGCGUGGACGCCAGUCUGCGUGGAGCCGACCUUGAAAUACCACCCUUUAAUGUUUGAUGUUCUAACGUGGACCCGUAAUCCGGGUUGCGGACAGUGUCUGGUGGGUAGUUUGACUGGGGCGGUCUCCUCCUAAAGAGUAACGGAGGAGCACGAAGGUUGGCUAAUCCUGGUCGGACAUCAGGAGGUUAGUGCAAUGGCAUAAGCCAGCUUGACUGCGAGCGUGACGGCGCGAGCAGGUGCGAAAGCAGGUCAUAGUGAUCCGGUGGUUCUGAAUGGAAGGGCCAUCGCUCAACGGAUAAAAGGUACUCCGGGGAUAACAGGCUGAUACCGCCCAAGAGUUCAUAUCGACGGCGGUGUUUGGCACCUCGAUGUCGGCUCAUCACAUCCUGGGGCUGAAGUAGGUCCCAAGGGUAUGGCUGUUCGCCAUUUAAAGUGGUACGCGAGCUGGGUUUAGAACGUCGUGAGACAGUUCGGUCCCUAUCUGCCGUGGGCGCUGGAGAACUGAGGGGGGCUGCUCCUAGUACGAGAGGACCGGAGUGGACGCAUCACUGGUGUUCGGGUUGUCAUGCCAAUGGCACUGCCCGGUAGCUAAAUGCGGAAGAGAUAAGUGCUGAAAGCAUCUAAGCACGAAACUUGCCCCGA
rnacentral:rRNA from 1 species